UCAUCGGCCCUUUUCAGGGCCACAAAUACAUCCAUACGUAUUGAA
rfam:Trichomalopsis sarcophagae strain Alberta scaffold7589, whole genome shotgun sequence.